GUCAUAGCUCAGUGGCAGAGCAUCUGCUUUGAAUUCAGAAGGUCCCGGGUUCAACUCCCAGCAUAUCCA